GUCGACUACAAUGUACUAGUUCUGCAACUAGUUACGCGGGAAGCGAACGCGGACCAGUCGAAAAAGAACCGAAAAACGAAGCCGCCUUCGGUUUGUUUUUGAAGGCGGCAAAUAACCGCAAUUCCGUGGAGUUACAGUGCCCACUCAGCUAGUUUUUACCGAGUCACGACAUGCAAUAAGCACCGAAAUGGUACGUGCAAAUAUAUAUUAUAUAUUUCAAAUAAAAUGAUGAGCAAAAGGCAUUUGCGUAGACUCCGUAAGAGUGAAAGGGAAGCUAACAUUGCAAAGUUAGCGUUGUGCAGGAAAGAUAAAAGAUAACAGAUAACAGCAAGGAAAUCGAUUCUCCAGCCAGCUGGCGUUUUGAGCGGCUUAAACUUUAUUUUGAGUGAGGAAAUUGUUCUAGCCUAUAACGUCGAUGGGGUCCAAGCGAAGAAGGCCCUUAGGACCCACAAAGAAUUUUUUGCAGCUUUGCUAGAAUGUAUUUCGCCUGGCGAUGAGCCCCCCGAAAACACUGUGCGGAAGGCAAUGCAAGGGAUGAAGAAAAGGGUUUUUAAGAAGAAGUGUCUUGCCAAAAACCAGGAGUAGG